rnacentral:rRNA from 1 species
UUAACGCGAAGGAACCUUACCAAAUCUUGACAUCCUUUGAAAACUCUAGAGAUAGAGCCUUCCCCUUCGGGGGACAAAGUGACAGGUGGUGCAUGGUUGUCGUCAGCUCGUGUCGUGAGAUGUUGGGUUAAGUCCCGCAACGAGCGCAACCCUUAAGCUUAGUUGCCAUCAUUAAGUUGGGCACUCUAGGUUGACUGCCGGUGACAAACCGGAGGAAGGUGGGGAUGACGUCAAAUCAUCAUGCCCCUUAUGAUUUGGGCUACACACGUGCUACAAUGGACAAUACAAAGGGCAGCUAAACCGCGAGGUCAUGCAAAUCCCAUAAAGUUGUUCUCAGUUCGGAUUGUAGUCUGCAACUCGACUACAUGAAGCUGGAAUCGCUAGUAAUCGUAGAUCAGCAUGUUAACGCUUCCCU